rnacentral:rRNA from 1 species
GACGAACGCUGGCGGCGUGCUUAACACAUGCAAGUCGAGCGGAAAGGCCACUUCGGUGGUACUCGAGCGGCGAACGGGUGAGUAACACGUGAGUAAUCUGCCCCUGGCUUUGGGAUAGCCACCGGAAACGGUGAUUAAUACCGGAUAUGACACAUUCUCGCAUGAGUUUGUGUGGAAAGUUUUUCGGCCAGGGAUGUGCUCGCGGCCUAUCAGCUUGAUGGUGAGGUAAUGGCUCGCCAUGGCUUCGACGGGUAGCCGGCCUGAGAGGGUGACCGGUCACACUGGGACUGAGACACGGCCCAGACUCCUACGGGAGGCAGCAGUGGGGAAUAUUGGACAAUGGGCGGAAGCCUGAUCCAGCAACGCCGCGUGAGGGAUGACGGCCUCCGGGUUGUAAACCUCUUUCAGUACCGACGAAGCGCAAGUGACGGUAGGUACAGAAGAAGCACCGGCCAACUACGUG